rnacentral:rRNA from 1 species
UACAGAGGUGGCAAGCGUUGUUCGGAUUUACUGGGCGUAAAGGGUCCGUAGGCGGUUCGGUUAGUCAAAUGUGAAAGCCCACAGCUCAACUGUGGAACUGCAUUUGAAACUGCCGAGCUAGAGUGUGAGAGGGGUUAAGGGAACUCCCGGUGUAAGGGUGAAAUCUGCAGAGAUCGGGAGGAACACCAGUCGCGAAGGCGCUUAACUGGCUCACUACUGACGCUCAGGGACGAAAGCUAGGGUAGCAAACGGG